rnacentral:lncRNA from 15 species
AUGGGAAGGAAAUCUAAAUGUAAAAGGGAAGCUUUUAUUAAGGAAAAGAGAAGAGGAGGGGUUGUGAUAACAGGACUAAAAACUUCUACCUUCAUCAGUCCACUAUUCAUUUCUCCAGCUCUAAACAUGCUGCUGCUGCUGCUCCUACUGCUGCUGUCACCAGGUGAUGGCCAGGCUCAGCGUGUGUCAGGCGUGAGGAAGAAUGGCUCGUGUGCGUGUGAGGUGAACUCUACCCUGUGGUCGUUCCCUGCUGUGAAGUACGAGGCCGUGCUGCAGCAGGUUGAGUCCUGUGGAGGAUCUUUGAACACCCUGCAGGAACAGGUGACAACUUCAGUCAACCAGAAUAAUUUUACAGUGGGGUAAAGUACCCAAAAAAGAUUUAAGAAUGUAUGAACCUGGUAUCAGGAAAACACAUUCAGUCAUCAAGAAACAGGAGUUUCUGUCUGUGUGUCCCUGCAGGUGAAGUUGUCCAGUGAGCGUCUCCCUCAGAUGCA